rnacentral:rRNA from 1 species
UUAGAAUUUAAUUUUUUAAUUAAAAAGUUAAAAUAAAUUAAAAAGACGAGAAGACCCUAUAGAGUUUUAUAAAUAAAUUUAAUUAAGGUUAUUUAUAAUAUUAAAAAAAAUUAAAAUUAAUUUAUUUAUUUUAUUGGGGUGAUAGAAAAAUAUAAAAAACUUUUUUUAAAUUUUAACAUAUAUAAGUGAUAAAAUGAUCCAUUAUUAUUGAUUAUAAGAAAAAAUUACCUUAGGGAUAACAGCGUAAUUUUUUUUUUUUAGUUCAUAUAAAAAAAAGAGUUUGCGACCUCGAUGUUGGAUUAAGAUAAAAUUUAAAUGUAGUCG